rnacentral:rRNA from 1 species
CCUACGGGUGGCUGCAGUGGGGAAUAUUGGGCAAUGGGGGGAACCCUGAUCCAGCGACGCCGCGUGAGUGAAGAAGUAUCUCGGUAUGUAAAGCUCUAUCAGCAGGGAAGAAGUAAUGACGGUACCUGAGUAAGAAGCUCCGGCUAACUACGUGCCAGCAGCCGCGGUAAUACGUAGGGGGCAAGCGUGAUCCGGAUUUACUGGGAGUAAAGGUGGCGCAGACGGCAAUGCAAGCCAGGAGUGAAAGCCCGGGGCCCAACCCCGGGACUGCUUUUGGAACUGCAUGGCUGGAGUACAGGAGGGGCAAGCGGAAUUCCUAGGGUAGCGGUGAAAUGCGUAGAUAUUAGGAGGAACACCGGUGGCGAAGGCGGCCUGCUGGACUGUGACUGACGUUGAGGCCCGAAGGCGUGGGGAGCAAACAGGAUUAGAUACCCCAGUAGUC